ensembl:lncRNA
UGGGAACUAGCUAGAGGCCAGAUAAUAUAGGACUUGAAGACUACAUUAGUAAAUAUUAAGCAUAAUCAAAGAGCUCAGUAAGUACCUGUCAUGGUCCAAGAUGGCUCUGGGGACUUGGCCUGUCUCUGCUUCUAAUUAACUUUUUAACCAAUCUCCUUUGCCCUAAAUAUUUCAGCCACAUGACACUAUACAAUCCACCAAACCAUCACAUCCAGCCUUCUUUAAGAGACAUUUGGAAUGUAUUAUUUCUAUUACUUUGAAUGUUGUGUGCCCCCAGCUCAUUUCCCCCAAAUGAUUCCUAAACUUAAGCCUACUGAGAUGACUCUGAUCAUUUUCCUCGUGACUACGUGUAAUUAUACAUUUAUUUGUGUGAUCAUGUGUCUCCACCAAUAAACUUUAAGCCUCCUGAAGUCAGGAUCCACAUUCCUGUGGACCGUUGUUUUAUUCCCAGGGCUCAGUACAGUAGCCAGCACUCUAGAUGGACAGUAAAAGUUUGUGGAUAUAUUAAUAAACAUAACAUACAUUUCAAUCCUUUCCUGAGUAUAGAAUGUCGUCUCAUGUUCCUGUUGUGCUGUGUAUGCUACACAUUCCUUCCAGAUUCUCUGCAUAGAAUGCGUUUGCUCCUGUGUUAUAAAAACUCAUUUUCUUCCCCUCUUCUACUCUAUCCUAGACUUCCCAUUCCCUCUCAGAAAAACAGAUGCUACCUGUGUUUGACCCUAAUCACCCGGUUGAUCUUUCUUCCUUGAAAGACUGGCAUAAUCUAAACUCUCCAAAUUGAAAUCAAAGAAUAGUCAGCGAUAAGCACGGGGCAGUUACAGCUGUGGUUCAUGGGAAGCAAACCAGGUCAGUGCAUAUUGACAUAGAGCUGUGUUCCCUUGUCCAUUUAUAAAAUACCCUCACAUCUUUCCAAAUCCAUCUCUAGCAUUCUCUGCUAAAACUGGUUAAAUAAAUU